AGGUGGGCACUCCUGAAGCUGCAGAGCGGAAGAGACCACCAACACUGCCCAUGCCUGCCCACAUCCCUGGCCCAAGAGGAAACUGUAUAAGGCCUCUGGGUUCCCGUGGGGGAGGGCCCAGGAGCGGCAGGACCGCUGCGUCUGAGACACUGCCGGAACCUGAAGGAAACAGACGGGAUAAACAAUUCUCUGCACCCAAAUCCCGUGGGAGGGAGAGCGAAACCUUCAGAGAGGCAGACAAGCCUGGGAAACCAGAAGAGACUGCACUCUGCACACACAUCUCGGACGCCAGAGGAAAACACCAAACGCCAUCUGGAACCCUGGUGCACUGAAGCUCCUGGAAACGGCAGUACAGAUCUUCAUGGUUGUUGCCACCGCAGAGAGCUCGUGGGCAGCACCCCGCGGGCGAACUUGAGCCUUGGAACCAACUUUUCUGCUGCAAGUGACCUGACUGGUGAACUCAAGACACAGGCCCACAGGAACAGCUGAAGACCUGUAGAGAGGAUAAACUACACGCCCGAAAGCAGAACACUCUGUCCCCAUAACUGGCUGAAAGAAAACAGGAAAA
rnacentral:lncRNA from 1 species